GCUUUAAUUAUCUAUUCCUGAGCAUACAUCAUACUGAUAAUUAAAGCUCAUGCUGGUGCAUGAAAAUCGAUUAAGACAUCGUGUGCAGUUGAUCUACAUCUAAGUCUAUGUGUAUAUAUCAUGUAUAUCAUAUAUAUAUAAAGAAUCGAGAUACAGGUGCGGUCACGUUAAUUGGGAAACGAUUCAAUACACAAGUCGGUAUCGUUAAUCAGAAUCGGAUAGUCUGGAGGAGAAAGGCGGAAAGGAAAGAUGGCUAAUCUCUGUCUCGGAGUCUAGCACGUGGCAUUGAUGCUAGAAUUAUUUUUCAUAAAAGAACGGUGACAAUACUGACGCGUCGUAUUUAUAUUCUAGAGCUUUUAGUUGUAAAGCCAGACGUCAAUGUGCAAUUUAUGUUAUUGUACACUCGUACCGAAUGAAAAAUAUUACAAUGCUCUAGGAUUUGAGGAAAAAGUAAAAAGUUUUAGUGACCGAUCAAUACUGGGCUACGAAGUUGGAUUAGAUGCAUGUAACCAAGUGUCAACUUACUCAGGUCCCAAGAGGGUAAGAAACUGAGGAAUUAAUCUGCUGCCGAAGCGACUGGAUCAAUAGACAGCAAAAGGGCACAUGUUCUACUGGUUGACAUCGGCUACGCAUUG